CAGUCGUACCUAUGGGUAAUCAGCCUUUUGGGUGUGAUUUUGUGGAGCGUGAGGAGUUAAACGCCUUCAUGCCUGCAUAUUCGUGCGCUUUGGGUGUACUUGCCCGUAUGGUUGGUUAACAUCAAUUUUGGUGGUCAUAAAAUGAUUGGAGGAAUGUAGCUUUGGUCUCGUAUCGAAGUGUUAUAGCCUUCGGUAGAUGUGGUGAUCGGAGAUUGAGGAUUGCAACGGAUACCUUUCGGGGCUACCUGUCUGAUCUCUGAUCGUUGCUUUGGUG
rnacentral:rRNA from 1 species